GGUAUCUCCUGGUGGUCAAGACAAGGUCAGUCCUUUCAAUGCUGUGUCACCAAAUGGCUGGCUGAUCAUCAGAAUGCUGUCACUCAUGCAGCGGACGGAAUACA